rnacentral:lncRNA from 1 species
AAAAUCUCCCUUUCUAUACCAGAACUAUUGCAACCAAUUUGCUAUUGCCACAGCAAUUGGGGAAUUAUAAUAUUAAAAACAAAAACCCGAAAGCUGAGUGAAACAGCAAACAAUGAAACAACGAAAUAAAAUCUUUCAAGUGUCUAAACAACACUUCACAUCGUUCAAGCAAUUCGCCGACACCCAAAUAUACUGUAGCUCACGAGUUGUACAGUGAAUGAGGAAACUCUUAGUAAAUAAAUCGUUAAAUUAUACAAAUAAAAGAAGGGUGUUUUCUCGUCAGCCAAGCAAGAGCCCUUAUACUUUUUGUCUUAAUAUAUACAACACACUAAGAUAAACGUUACGCUUAAAUCUCUCAAGUAGUUGAAUCGACUUCAGCUACUUGUCAUUCAACUAUCUCAGGAAGUUGCGUUUGGGAAUAAGUAGAGGCGUUCAUUCUUCAGGUAUAUAUACAACGUCUACGUAUUCAAUCAUUUUAAAAAAUUAUACUACCUCGGAGUAAAUUAUUUCAAAGCGUCCGAGGCGUAGACGUCGGAGUUGAACAAACCGAUAAAAUCUUGAAGAUAACCCCGAAGUCCGAAUGCUCUGAUCUAUUCCAUGUGCGCCUCUAGCAUUCGAUAUUGUUGAAAGUUGAUGUGAAUAGAGUGUUAUAUCGCACGCUUCAUCUGAUCACCUAAUGCCAUGGUUAGAAGAUCUCGUUAUGCUGACAAAACAUGGUGGUAGUAUUCCACUGCACUAUAGCUAAGAUGGUAGGAUCUCGAUAGUAGUUAUAAAGAAGAAAUGAGAAUGUUCUAAACUGCAUAUGUAAUCGUCCACGUUUUGCCUUGAAUUAAUAAUUUGCAUCUCAAGAAACUCAAGUCAGGCUUGGUACAGUGAAGUGGGUGAUUGCAAUCAUCAAGGCUAUUAAUGCUGGGCUGAAUAUAGUACAAUACAUUUAAUACAUUAUACAUUCAAUACAUUCAUACAAACGAUACUUACGGCAUUUUGCACAACCUAAUGUGUAAAUAAACCUGAAAAGGUUUUAAAUGAGUUUGAUUUGACAUCUCCUUCUAUAAGCUCUAGUAAACUUCGAUGACAAAACGACGCUCUUCCUUCCAUUGUUCAAUGAUCUUGCGAGCAUCGACUGGCUCAUCAUAACUGCUCUGGAUCACUUCCUCUAAAACACUGGUGAUCUCGGGCAAGGGCCAUGUAGGACCACACAAGUAAAAGGAACCCCCCUCAUCCAUAAGAGCCUUCUUUAACAUGUCUUUGGUAGAUCGCAUAACAUCUUGGAUAUAGAUUUUGUAGGGUUGAUCACGACUGAAAGCUUGUCCAAUAUGCGUCAAUAGAUUGGCGGAAUGAUAAGCCUCCCAAUCCUCACCAUACAGAUACUCUUCUCUUUGAGUACGGGAACCCAAAUAUAACAAGAUGUCACCAGAUUCGAUUCCCUGCAUACGUUGCCAUUCUUUGAAUUGCAAAAAGGCACGGAAUGGUGCUAAACCAGUUCCCAAACCUGCCAUGACAAUUGGCUUCAAGGGGGACGUGGGCAACUUCAUGACAGAAGUCUUGACAGCAACGCAAAGAGGUUCGCCCACCUUCAAAUUGGAAAGAUAGUGCGAGCAUUGGCCAUAGCGAUCACGUCCCAUACCAUCCUUCCAACCAACCACGACAACCAGCAAAUGAACACUGUCAUUGUGCUUCUUUUGAGAAGAAGAAAUGGAAUACUCACGACGCUUAAUGACUGGUACGAUUUGUGCGAUUUGUGCAGCAGUCAGCUUAGCAUGCUUAAACUCUUUCAAUACAUCAGCAUAGGUAAGCAUAUCUACUUCAGCACGACGCUUGAAAUCAGGAGCUCCAGCAGGGCUAAUUAAAAUCUGCAGAUCGGCACGCUCCUUCUCAUCAGUCUCGAAUUCAAGCAGUUGCUCAUGGAAUUUUUUAGUGGGUUUACCAAAAAUGUCAAUGUUCUGACAAAGUGCUUGGAAAACUGUGCGUGUUUCCCAAUGACCAGGAUGUUGAAUGGACGGGACGUGGAUAAGCUCGUUAGCAUCUAAUCCGUAUUCCUCAAUGAAAUCAUGAACGUGAGUUUUAUUGUUAACACCGUAAACACCCAAAGCUUCACCAAUGUCAUAGGUGAGCCCACUGUCGCCAAGGUCGAAUUCGAUGUGGAAAAUAUUACGGUUAUACUCGGCGGGCGUAAGACGUUUGUUAGCUCUCACGUGAACAGUAAAGACCUUCUCCGAAACGUCAGGACGAAGGGCGUCCUUCUUUUUGUAAGCCUCGGGGAAGAUGAUCUGCUUGGCCACUGUCUGCCAGUUGGAAGAUUGAGGGGUGAUAUCCUCAUCUAAAGUCUUCACAGCGUUGGGAGCAAACGAAGUUUCCUUCGCGGUACUUGGCAACUCCUUCUCCGAGGGCUCGCGAUCCUUCAAAGCCGAGGCGUCUAAAUUAAUGAACGAGAGAGAUUGCUUAAGUGAGUCAACAGCAUCUUUCAAAUUCGUGUCAGUUAAAUUAUUUUGCUUAGCCAAAACAGCCAAAGCCUCGUCAACACCUAAACCAGGCUUGACGAGUUGAAUAAAUGAAACCAACAAAGGCAAGUUCGAGGCAUCGAUGGCAAACUUUUUGGGAUCAAUAAGCACUAAUUUCACUCCUUUCUCCAAAGCAUCAGCGAUAAAUUCGUAUGGAAGUUUCUUAGUUGCUUCAUCUGGUGCGAUGGAGGACUGUAAUAAACAAAUAGAAUGUUCAGCAGCCUUGGCGAGAACACGAUAAUGUAAAGGAAGUCGAUCAGUAGUUAAAAUAGUAAUAUCAGCAUCAACAUCUUUAACAACAUCUGUUAAAACAGCGUUGGCCGUAGAAACUUGGGCAACGGUAAAACGGACGCCAGCCAAGGUCAAGUUGUCAAACAAAGGACGGAAGGCAACAGAUCUCGAUUUAUCGGUUCUAUAGGCAGAAACUAACGAAAGCACCAAGGAAUCACCGACAUCAGAUUCCCAAACGUUGAUGCUCUUAUCAACAUGAACAGCUUUGGGAGUAGCAGCUUUCAAUUGCAGGGUCUCGUGAAGAGCAUCAAAGAGAGAGCUCAAGGUGAC